AGCGCAGCCCGGUAGCGCACCUGCAUGGGGUGCAGGGGGUCGUGGGUUCAAAUCCCGCC
rnacentral:tRNA from 1 species